AUAGGAUGUUGCUGCCCAGGGAGUCCUGGCCGAAGAGGUUUACUCAUUCCAGAAGCAAGAAUUGUACCAUUGUAAGGCGAAUGGAAAUAAACUGACAUCGACUGAGAUA